AGACGACGACGUUGAUAGGCCGGGUGUGUAAGCGCAGCGAUGCGUUGAGCUAACCGGUACUAAUGAACCGUGAGGCUUAACCUUAC
rnacentral:rRNA from 1 species